AGUGAACGCUGGCGGCGUGCUUAACACAUGCAAGUCGAACGAGAACGGAAUAUAGCUUGCUAUAUUUGUCAGCUAAGUGGCGCACGGGUGAGUAAUGUAUAGAUAACCUGCCCUUAAGAAAGGAAUAACAGUUGGAAACGACUGCUAAUGCCCUAUAUGCCUUUAAUACAUAAGUAUGCAAGGGAAACGCUUUAGUGCUUAAGGAUGGGUCUGUAUGGUAUCAGCUUGUUGGUGAGGUAAUGGCUCACCAAGGCUAUGACGCCUAACUGGUUUGAGAGGAUGAUCAGUCACACUGGAACUGAGACACGGUCCAGACUCCUACGGGAGGCAGCAGUGGGGAAUAUUGCACAAUGGACGAAAGUCUGAUGCAGCAACGCCGCGUGGAGGAUGACACAUUUCGGUGCGUAAAUUCCUUUUAUAUAGGAAGAUGAUGACGGUACUAUAUGAAUAAGCACCGGCUAACUCCGUGCCAGCCGCCGCGGUAA
rnacentral:rRNA from 1 species